rnacentral:rRNA from 1 species
UCAACGCUGGCGGCGUGCCUAACACAUGCAAGUCGAGCGCGAAAGUGGGCUUCGGCCCGCGAGUAGAGCGGCGAACGGGUGAGUAACGCGUGGGUGAUCUACCUUCGAGUGGGGAAUAACACCGGGAAACUGGUGCUAAUACCGCAUGACAUCCUCGGUUCGUUCCGGGGAUCAAAGCCGGGGACCGCAAGGCCUGGCGCUUGGAGAGGAGCCUGCGUCCGAUUAGCUUGUUGGCGGGGUAAUGGCCCACCAAGGCUUCUAUCGGUAGCCGGCCUGAGAGGGCGGACGGCCACACUGGGACUGAGACACGGCCCAGACUCCUACGGGAGGCAGCAGUGGGGAAUUUUUGUCAAUGGGGGAAACCCUGAACAAGCAACGCCGCGUGGAGGAUGAAGGCCCUCGGGUCGUAAACUCCUGUCGAUCGGGAAGAAUGCGUCCGACCUAAUACGUCGGUGCGUUGACUGUACCGGUGGAGGAAGCCACGGCUAACUCU